UACGGAAGGCAGCAGUGGGGAAUAUUGCACAAUGGGCGCAAGCCUGAUGCAGCCAUGCCGCGUGUAUGAAGAAGGCCUUCGGGCUGUAAAGUACUUUCAGUCGUGAGGAAGGUGUUAAGGUUAAUAACCUUAGCAAUUGACGUUAGCGACAGAAGAAGCACCGGCUAACUCCGUGCCAGCAGCCGCGGUAAUACGGAGGGUGCGAGCGUUAAUCGGAAUUACUGGGCGUAAAGGGCACGCAGGCGGUUAAUUAAGUUGGAUGUGAAAUCCCCGGGCUUAACCUGGGAAUGGCAUUCAAGACUGGUUAGCUAGAGUCUUGUAGAGGGGGUAGAAUUCCAUGUGUAGCGGUGAAAUGCGUAGAGAUGUGGAGGAAUACCGGUGGCGAAGGCGGCCCCUGGGACAAAGACUGACGCUCAUGUGCGAAAGCGUGGGGAGCAAACGAGGAUUAGAUACC
rnacentral:rRNA from 1 species